ACGAAAAUGCAUGUAGGUGUC
rnacentral:siRNA from 1 species